AGUGAACGCUGGCGGUAGGCCUAACACAUGCAAGUCGAACGGCAGCACAGGAGAGCUUGCUCUCUGGGUGGCGAGUGGCGGACGGGUGAGGAAUACAUCGGAAUCUACUCUGUCGUGGGGGAUAACGUAGGGAAACUUACGCUAAUACCGCAUACGACCUACGGGUGAAAGCAGGGGACCUUCGGGCCUUGCGCGAUUGAAAGAGCCGAUGUCGGAUUAGCUAGUUGGCGGGGUAAAGGCCCACCAAGGCGACGAUCCGUAGCUGGUCUGAGAGGAUGAUCAGCCACACUGGAACUGAGACACGGUCCAGACUCCUACGGGAUGCAGCAGUGGUGAAUAUUGGACAAUGGGCGCAAGCCUGAUCCAGCCAUACCGCGUGGGUGAAGAAGGCCUUCGGGUUGUAAAGCCCUUUUGUUGGGAAAGAAAUCCAGCUGGCUAAUACCCGGUUGGGAUGACGGUACCCAAAGAAUAAGCACCGGCUAACUUCGUGCCAGCCGCCGCAGUAA
rnacentral:rRNA from 1 species